CUCCUUCUUACCCCUCACCCUUGCAAGCUGCAUCGCCAGCCACGUAAGCAUCAAGGGAGCACCCCACGACGGCGACUACCACCACCAGCGCUAUCACGCUUUUCGUGUGCUCUCGUUUGGCUGCCACUCGAAGGGCACGCGGAAUUCACGCCGCCUGCCUGCUUCUUUCUUACGGUGAGGGUGUAGCAAGUUCUUGCGCGCCUUAGCGGCAGACACCGAGCGACGGACGUCUGCGCACAUCACCGGCGCCAGAGUGGGGGGAGGGGGGGGGAACAUUCUUCUCUUCUCUGCCACCUCCCCCGCGAGUACACCACCACGUUGCCGGGGGGGAGCGGCCAUGUCCACUCCUGUCGGUGGAGUAGUUCCGCAGGACCGCUGGCAGCCUCAGCAGAGGGUGAAAGUCUGUCAGUACCAGGACUGCGGCGCCCCCUUCGGUUUCUUUUCCACCAAGGUCAACUGCCACCGCUGCGGCAUCGUGCUAUGCGGCAAGUGCGCAUCCACCAAGACCGUGAUCCCCCGCUACUACAGCAAUGAGGCCGUCCCCGUCUGCCAGCGCUGUUACCAGGUGGUUGAGCGCUACAAGGCACGCGGGUCCGUGACGCCAGGAUAUGUCGUUCAUUCUACCACCGUCAGCGCCACGCCGGCUCGAUCCUCGCCGGUGCCGCCACCUCACACGAGUCAAGCGCCGGGGACUCAUGCACCCUCGCCGCAGCCCGCUGCCGCUGUGUCCCCUGCAGCACUCGUCCCUACCGUCGAAGCAGUAACAGUGUCGACAAAACCCUCCGUCACCGAUGCCGACCUGCACGCCCUGCGAGGCGUCAUCGAGACCCUCCAGCAAGCACUCAACGACGCGCAAUGCAACGCCGCCAAGGCCGCCACAUCCGCUGCCGCGCAGCUCCGAACCGCAGAGGAAGAGAACGCGGCACUAAAAAGCACCGCAGACCUCUUACAGCAGCGCCUGGUCACCGCCGCGCAGCAGCGCGCCGAGCUGGAGGCACAGGUGGCACGGCUGGCCGCGGGCCGCGACGAGGCGCGCGAGCAGCUAGCCGCGAACGCCGAAGAGCUGCAGCAGCGCCUGGUCACGGCCGCGCAGCAGCGCGCCGAGCUGGAGGCACAGGUGGCACGGCUGGCCGCGGACCGCGACGAGGCGCGCGAGCAGCUAGCCGCGAACGCCGAAGAGCUGCAGCAGCGCCUGGUCACGGCCGCGCAGCAGCGCGCCGAGCUGGAGGCACAGGUGGCACGGCUGGCCGCGGGCCGCGACGAGGCGCGCGAGCAGCUAGCCGCGAACGCCGAAGAGCUGCAGCAGCGCCUGGUCACGGCCGCGCAGCAGCGCGCCGAGCUGGAGGCACAGGUGGCACGGCUGGCCGCGGACCGCGACGAGGCGCGCGAGCAGCUAGCCGCGAACGCCGAAGAGCUGCAGCAGCGCCUGGUCACGGCCGCGCAGCAGCGCGCCGAGCUGGAGGCACAGGUGGCACGGCUGGCCGCGGACCGCGACGAGGCGCGCGAGCAGCUGGCCGCGAACGCCGAGGAGCUGCAGCAGCGCCUGGUCACCGCCGCGCAGCAGCGCGCCGAGCUGGAGGCACAGGUGGCACGGCUGGCCGCAGACCGCGACGAGGCGCGCGAGCAGCUAGCCGCGAACGCCGAAGAGCUGCAGCAGCGCCUGGUCACCGCCACGCAGCAGCGCGCCGAGCUGGAGGCACAGGUGGCACGGCUGGCCGCAGACCGCGACGAGGCGCGCGAGCAGCUGGCCGCGAACGCCGAAGAGCUGCAGCAGCGCCUGGUCACCGCCGCGCAGCAGCGCGCCGAGCUGGAGGCACAGGUGGCACGGCUGGCCGCGGACCGCGACGAGGCGCGCGAGCAGCUGGCCGCGAAUGCCGAAGAGCUGCAGCAGCGCCUGGUCACCGCCGCGCAGCAGCGCGCCGAGCUGGAGGCACAGGUGGCACGGCUGGCCGCGGACCGCGACGAGGCGCGCGAGCAGCUGGCCGCGAACGCCGAGGAGCUGCAGCAGCGCCUGGUCACCGCCGCGCAGCAGCGCGCCGAGCUGGAGGCACAGGUGGCACGGCUGGCCGCAGACCGCGACGAGGCGCGCGAGCAGCUGGCCGCGAACGCCGAGGAGCUGCAGCAGCGCCUGGUCACGGCCGCGCAGCAGCGCGCCGAGCUGGAGGCACAGGUGGCACGGCUGGCCGCGGACCGCGACGAGGCGCGCGAGCAGCUGGCCGCGAACGCCGAGGAGCUGCAGCAGCGCGCCGAGCUGGAGGCACAGGUGGCACGGCUGGCCGCGGACCGCGACGAGGCGCGCGAGCAGCUAGCCGCGAACGCCGAAGAGCUGCAGCAGCGCCUGGUCACCGCCGCGCAGCAGCGCGCCGAGCUGGAGGCACAGGUGGCACGGCUGGCCGCGGACCGCGACGAGGCGCGCGAGCAGCUGGCCGCGAACGCCGAGGAGCUGCAGCAGCGCCUGGUCACCGCCGCGCAGCAGCGCGCCGAGCUGGAGGCACAGGUGGCACGGCUGGCCGCAGACCGCGACGAGGCGCGCGAGCAGCUGGCCGCGAACGCCGAGGAGCUGCAGCAGCGCCUGGUCACGGCCGCGCAGCAGCGCGCCGAGCUGGAGGCACAGGUGGCACGGCUGGCCGCGGGCCGCGACGAGGCGCGCGAGCAGCUGGCCGCGAACGCCGAGGAGCUGCAGCAGCGCCUGGUCACCGCCACGCAGCAGCGCGCCGAGCUGGAGGCACAGGUGGCACGGCUGGCCGCGGACCGCGACGAGGCGCGCGAGCAGCUGGCCGCGAACGCCGAGGAGCUGCAGCAGCGCCUGGUCACCGCCACGCAGCAGCGCGCCGAGCUGGAGGCACAGGUGGCACGGCUGGCCGCAGACCGCGACGAGGCGCGCGAGCAGCUGGCCGCGAACGCCGAAGAGCUGCAGCAGCGCCUGGUCACCGCCACGCAGCAGCGCGCCGAGCUGGAGGCACAGGUGGCACGGCUGGCCGCGGACCGCGACGAGGCGCGCGAGCAGCUGGCCGCGAACGCCGAGGAGCUGCAGCAGCGCCUGGUCACGGCCGCGCAGCAGCGCGCCGAGCUGGAGGCACAGGUGGCACGGCUGGCCGCGAACGCCGAAGAGCUGCAGCAGCGCCUGGUCACCGCCACGCAGCAGCGCGCCGAGCUGGAGGCACAGGUGGCACGGCUGGCCGCGGGCCGCGACGAGGCGCGCGAGCAGCUGGCCGCGAACGCCGAGGAGCUGCAGCAGCGCGCCGAGCUGGAGGCACAGGUGGCACGGCUGGCCGCAGACCGCGACGAGGCGCGCGAGCAGCUAGCCGCGAACGCCGAAGAGCUGCAGCAGCGCCUGGUCACCGCCGCGCAGCAGCGCGCCGAGCUGGAGGCACAGGUGGCACGGCUGGCCGCGGACCGCGACGAGGCGCGCGAGCAGCUGGCCGCGAACGCCGAGGAGCUGCAGCAGCGCCUGGUCACCGCCACGCAGCAGCGCGCCGAGCUGGAGGCACAGGUGGCACGGCUGGCCGCGGGCCGCGACGAGGCGCGCGAGCAGCUAGCCGCGAACGCCGAGGAGCUGCAGCAGCGCGCCGAGCUGGAGGCACAGGUGGCACGGCUGGCCGCAGACCGCGACGAGGCGCGCGAGCAGCUAGCCGCGAACGCCGAAGAGCUGCAGCAGCGCCUGGUCACCGCCACGCAGCAGCGCGCCGAGCUGGAGGCACAGGUGGCACGGCUGGCCGCGGGCCGCGACGAGGCGCGCGAGCAGCUGGCCGCGAACGCCGAGGAGCUGCAGCAGCGCCUGGUCACCGCCGCGCAGCAGCGCGCCGAGCUGGAGGCACAGGUGGCACGGCUGGCCGCGGGCCGCGACGAGGCGCGCGAGCAGCUGGCCGCGAACGCCGAGGAGCUGCAGCAGCGCGCCGAGCUGGAGGCACAGGUGGCACGGCUGGCCGCGGACCGCGACGAGGCGCGCGAGCAGCUGGCCGCGAACGCCGAGGAGCUGCAGCAGCGCCUGGUCACGGCCGCGCAGCAGCGCGCCGAGCUGGAGGCACAGGUGGCACGGCUGGCCGCGGACCGCGACGAGGCGCGCGAGCAGCUGGCCGCGAACGCCGAGGAGCUGCAGCAGCGCCUGGUCACCGCCGCGCAGCAGCGCGCCGAGCUGGAGGCACAGGUGGCACGGCUGGCCGCGGACCGCGACGAGGCGCGCGAGCAGCUAGCCGCGAACGCCGAGGAGCUGCAGCAGCGCCUGGUCACGGCCGCGCAGCAGCGCGCCGAGCUGGAGGCACAGGUGGCACGGCUGGCCGCGGACCGCGACGAGGCGCGCGAGCAGCUGGCCGCGAAUGCCGAAGAGCUGCAGCAGCGCCUGGUCACCGCCGCGCAGCAGCGCGCCGAGCUGGAGGCACAGGUGGCACGGCUGGCCGCAGACCGCGACGAGGCGCGCGAGCAGCUGGCCGCGAACGCCGAGGAGCUGCAGCAGCGCCUGGUCACCGCCGCGCAGCAGCGCGCCGAGCUGGAGGCACAGGUGGCACGGCUGGCCGCAGACCGCGACGAGGCGCGCGAGCAGCUGGCCGCGAACGCCGAGGAGCUGCAGCAGCGCCUGGUCACGGCCGCGCAGCAGCGCGCCGAGCUGGAGGCACAGGUGGCACGGCUGGCCGCGGACCGCGACGAGGCGCGCGAGCAGCUGGCCGCGAACGCCGAGGAGCUGCAGCAGCGCGCCGAGCUGGAGGCACAGGUGGCACGGCUGGCCGCGGACCGCGACGAGGCGCGCGAGCAGCUAGCCGCGAACGCCGAAGAGCUGCAGCAGCGCCUGGUCACCGCCACGCAGCAGCGCGCCGAGCUGGAGGCACAGGUGGCACGGCUGGCCGCGGACCGCGACGAGGCGCGCGAGCAGCUAGCCGCGAACGCCGAGGAGCUGCAGCAGCGCCUGGUCACGGCCGCGCAGCAGCGCGCCGAGCUGGAGGCACAGGUGGCACGGCUGGCCGCGGACCGCGACGAGGCGCGCGAGCAGCUGGCCGCGGACCGCGACGAGGCGCGCGAGCAGCUAGCCGCGAACGCCGAAGAGCUGCAGCAGCGCCUGGUCACGGCCGCGCAGCAGCGCGCCGAGCUGGAGGCGCAGAUCGCAGUGCUCCUGCGUGAGAGGGACGAAGCGGGCGCACAGGCAGUAGUGGCUGCAGAGCAGCUUCAGCUGCACCGGGAAAUGGUCAAGAAGGAGGAGGAGUCCUUUGAAGAACGCUCUUGCCUCGAGUCGCAGGUGGCGCAGCUGAUGGAGGCGUUCGCGGCCGCGGAGCAGCAGCGGCAAGAAGUGGCGGCGAAAGCGGCGGAUGCGCAGGAGCGGCUUGAUUCGAUGGCGCGUCGGUGCAUUGGGCUCGAGGGAGAUGCGGAGCAGCGGGCGGACGAGAGAGACGAGGCCCUGCGGCAACUUGCUAAUCUCCGUGAAGAGGUGAAGCUCAGGCAGGACGCUGCCGACGUGGAGAAUGCAGAGCUGAGGGCGCGGCUUGCUCAGCUCAGUGAGGAGCAGGAGAAGACGCUGGAGCAUGUUAUUUCGGGUGUUAGAGAGAGGCAGGUGCGCCCCGAAGCAGCUGAAGAGCAGCGGGCGGACUUGGAAGCACGCGUCGCACGCCUCGUCGACGAGGCUGGCGACCUUCGCUCUCGUCUUGCUGCGAGCACAGACGAAGUUAAUCUGUACCGCGACCUCGCUCUGCAGGAACAUGAAGCAGCCCAGAAUCGGUGCGCAACACUGGAAGCGCAGGUGGCAAGGCUCAUGAGCGACCGUGACAACGCGCGUCAGCAAGAGUCGGCUGACCUCAGCGAGGUGCGGCGUCACCUCGGCGACGCCGUGCACGAGCGCGACAUGGCCUAUCAUCGGUGUGCCGAGUUGGAGGAGCAGAAUGCUGUUAUGGCCUCGGAGUUGCAAGCGGCCAAGGCUAAACUGCGGCAGGCGUCGGAGAAGGCCUCCUCAUUGAUGGCGCGACUCUCCGCAUCAUCCUCGGUAGCUGAUGGUAUCUCUGCCCUUGUGAGCGUGGAAGGCAGCUCUGGCGUGCCACAAGCGGCGCCGCACCGGGAUGGGGAGCUCAUCGCCGAGGCGGGCGAACGCCUUCGCGAAAGGGGGGAGGCCAUGCGACUGUUGGCCGAAGGCGUCGAACUGAGCGAGCGCGCGCGGCCGCUGGAGCAGGUGCUCGCCGAGAAGCUGAUCGACGACCGUCGCACGAGCCACGCGGAAGAGGUCGCCACGGAGUCCACGCAGUUGCCGUGGAAGCCUGCGCACUCGCGGCGCCUGGACUCGCGUGCGGCGCAGCUGGACGAGCGCGCGGCACGGCUGAGGGAAAAAGAGCGGCAGCUGCUGCGCGUCGCUCAUGAGCUGCAGGCUAAGUCGCGUGCCCUUCAAGUAUUAUACGCACGGGCGCUGGAUAGGCCACAGGUGACGUCGCUGCUGCUGACGGCCGACGGCGACGAUACCUCCCACCCUAACACACCACAGCAACAGCAGCAAGGCACACGCACGCCGCGCAGAGAGCCUGUGUAUCCGCUGCACAGCGGGGUGACGCACUCCGAACGCACUUCAGGGGCCGCAAUGAGCAGCGGUCUCGCAUCACCUCUGCCGAGGGAGCCGCCACGGGCUCGGAUGGUGCACCGCGAUGUGGAGGCAACGGGCACAGAGAAAGACACGCAGGAGCGCCUCACAGCUGCAACGGAGGCUUACCGCGACGUGCUGUACGAGCACAUUCUCGAGUCGAAUGGGCUGCAAGGGGUGGAUGCGUUGGCCCAGUAUCUACCCCGCCACACCUCCGGCGGUGGGCUGAAGACGCAACGACUGUCUGCGAGCGGCAUUAUCUCGAAGACCCGGGCAAUGUUACGAGCGCUGGAGGAACGCCUGGGCGCUUCCCGUGGCGUCGUGCGUGGAGUCGACCCGGCGGUGCAGGAGCGAAGCCUGGAAGCCUUCCGACGGCUCGAGGUCGCCUUGUCUGCCCUUUGUGAAGGCAGCGAUUCGUAGCGACGCAGUCCAUAGCCAUGGGCGCUGGCCGCCGCCUCUCCUCCACGCCUCAGCGCUCCUACGGAUAUGAAAGGCAUUCGGUGCUGCAUCGUUUUUCCUGCUCUGAUGCGACACCCUACGUCCAUACCCCGACAGCACGUCCUCGCCGCCGCCGCCCCCCACACACACACACACAAACACACCUCCGCCACUCCUCCGUUGGCUGCAUAUCGUUCGCCAAGGGGCUGCAACUCCCGGCCCCACCUCCCUCCAAGUGGCAGCGCAACCGUGCACGGCGGCGACAGUCGCCCGUUAGAGUGGAUGAUGCAAGGUGGAAGAGCACCGGGAAGUG
rnacentral:misc_RNA from 1 species